rnacentral:ncRNA from 1 species
GACCCAAUUUGGGGCUUAAAACCUCGUUGCUGUGUCACACAGCAGCUGAAACGUCGGCGAAACAUUUCCCAGUACGGACAGGUGGUGACGAAAAUUACCGAUGCGGGACUCUUAUUGAGGCUACGUUAUCGGAAUGAGUGAACUGUAAUCCUUUCACGAGGAUCAAUUGGAGGGCAAGUCUGGUGCCAGCAGCCGUUGUAACUGUAGCUCCAAUAGCUUAUAUUAAAGUUGCUGUGGUU